rnacentral:tRNA from 2 species
GGGUCCCUAGCUCAGCUGGUUAGAGCGGCUGGUUUACACCCAGUAGGUCGGGGGUUCGAAUCCCUCGGGACCCA